GAAUUGACUAAAGAAUUAGCAAUUCUCAAAGCCCGAUUGCUUCUAGGGACCACCCUUUGAUUCAGCAACCUGCAUCCUGUCAUGUUGGAUGAUUUGGGCAAAGGAAUGAGAUAGAACAUCUCCUGUAGAAAAGGAACAGUUAUCCAACAAGGCUGCCUUAGAUAGCCAAUCAGCUGCUUGAUUUUGCUCCCGAUAAAUAUGAAAAAAUCUGCA
rnacentral:lncRNA from 1 species